UACAGAGGGUGCGAGCGUUGUUCGGAAUUAUUGGGCGUAAAGGGCGCGUAGGCGGUGCGGUAAGUCACCUGUGAAACCUCUGGGCUUAACUCAGAGCCUGCAGGCGAAACUACCGUGCUGGAGUGUGGGAGAGGUGCGUGGAAUUCCCGGUGUAGCGGUGAAAUGCGUAGAUAUCAGGAGGAACACCGGCGGCGAAGGCGGCCCUCUGGAUCGUUGCUGACGCUGAGGCGCGAAAGCUAGGGUAGCAAACGGG
rnacentral:rRNA from 1 species